UACGAAGGGUGCAAGCGUUACUCGGAAUUACUGGGCGUAAAGCGUGCGUAGGUGGUUUGUUAAGUCUGUUGUGAAAGCCCCGGGCUCAACCUGGGAAUGGCAAUGGAUACUGGCAGGCUAGAGUGCGGUAGAGGGUAGUGGAAUUCCCGGUGUAGCAGUGAAAUGCGUAGAGAUCGGGAGGAACACCAGUGGCGAAGGCGGCUACCUGGACCAGCAUUGACACUCAAGCACGAAAGCGUGGGGAGCAAACAGG
rnacentral:rRNA from 1 species